UAGCCCUCAUUUCUGCUGGUUUUUUUUCAGCGUGGUCUGCCACCGUCCGGCCAGCCACCAGCUGCCAUCCCACUCCAGUUUUGACCCCCAUCACCUCCUCUCUCUCCCCGGCCAAGCCCCCGAGCCGUUAGCCCGCCGGAAGAGGAGAAAACUCGCCGGAGUCGUCGGGAAGCUUUUUGCCGGAAAUCCCACCUCCGGCCAUCAUAGGUCGAAAUCUUUGGCUCAUCUUGUAGCCCUCAUCGAGGUGAGUAUUCCCUCAAAAGGAAUUAGUCUAUUUCGUUGUUGUUAUGGAGAAAUGUAUAAUUGAAGUUUUUAGGGAUUUAUGGAAGUUUUGAUUCGUUUGCCCUAGUUAGCCUUAGAAAUGGACUAAGUGCUAGUUAUGAAUGUUGUUGAGCAUGAUGAGAGGAAUAUUCUGUGAAAAUUUGAGAAGCAUUGGAGGUCGCCGGAAAACGGCUGCCGGCCGCCGCCGCCGCCCCUUAGGGGCAGUUUUUCAUGCUUUUUGGGUUUGUUUUAAUGAGAGGAGUUUAAUGAAGUAUAGUUUGGAAUUUUUGGAGGAGAUUUGAUAAGGUUUAGGAUUUAUCUAUGAUUAAGGAUUUGGCGGUUAUUCGAAUGGAAAUCCGGCAGUUGGUUUAGCAGGUUUUAAAGUCUAAAAAAGUUAAAUUAUGGCUUUCGGUAAGUGCGAAGUAAUGUGAGCAUUAUUAGGUAAAAUGUGGAGAAGUUAGGCAAGCGAAAUGAAAUUAUAGGCUUCCUUUUUAUUUCGGAAAUUUGAUUAAAGUUUUGUCCUGGUUUGGAGGCUAAAUGAUUAUUUAUUGUUCAGGACGUGAGGAGGAUCAUUUGGAGGAGGCCUCGGGCCGUCGGUAAGCAUAGCCGAGCACUGUGAGUGGACCUUUGAUUUUAAUAUCAUGCAUGCGCUAAAGUUAUUUAAUUUCAAAGGCAUUUGGAGAUAUAAUAUUUUGUUGGAUUAUCGAGUUCCACUUAUUUUUCCGGAACUCUCUUGCUAAUUUUAGUUGACACGUGGGACGUGUCAAGUGUUUUAUACUAUUUCCAUGUACAGUUGGGAACUGUACUGUGNNNNNNNNNNNNNNNNNNNNGGUAGGAGGCGAGUCAUAUUUCCCACCUCAUCCAGUU
rnacentral:lncRNA from 1 species